CCUACGGGAGGCAGCAGUGAGGAAUAUUGCUCAAUGGGCGCGAGCCUGAACCAGCCAAGCAGCGUGAAGGAUGAAUGCCUUCCGGUUUGUAAGUUCUUUUUAUAAAGGAAUAAAGUGAGGCAUGUGUGCCUUUGUGUAUGUACUUUACGAAUAAGGCACGGCUAACUCAGCGCCAGCAGCCGCGGUAAUACGGAGGAUCCGAGCGUUAUCCGGAUUUAUUUGGUUUAAAGGGACCGUAGAUGGGUUGUUAAGUCAGAUGUGAAAGUUUGCGGCUCAACCGUAAAAUUGCAAUUGAUACUGGCAGCCUUGAGUACAGUUGAGGUAGGCGGAAUUCGUGGUGUAGCGGUGAAAUGCUUAGAGAUCACGAAGAACUCCGAUUGCGAAGGCGGCUUACUAGACUGCCACUGACGUUGAUGCGCGAAAGUGUGGGUAGCAAACAUGAUUAGAUACCCCUGUAGUC
rnacentral:rRNA from 1 species